rnacentral:lncRNA from 1 species
UAGGUACGUUAGACACAAUCUCUUAGUACCUUAUUGCGUGUGGUUUAAGCAUUGCUCAAUACUUUUCUGGAUGGCAGUUUCAACUGGCACAGAACUGCGCUUUGCCACAGUCACAUGUGUCUUCAAAGUGGUGUUUACCAUUUGUAUUCUGUUUGUG